GCUAGGAAUCUUGGGAAUGGGCGAAAGCCUGACCCAGCAACGCCGCGUGGGCGAUGAAGGCCUUCGGGUCGUAAAGCCCUUUUGCAGGGGACGAUAAUGACGGUACCCUGCGAAUAAGCCACGGCUAACUACGUGCCAGCAGCCGCGGUAAUACGUAGGUGGCAAGCGUUGUCCGGAUUUACUGGGCGUAAAGGGCGUGCAGGCGGUUUGUUAAGUCUAGGGUGAAAGCUCCCGGCUCAACUGGGAGAGGUCCUUGGAUACUGGCGAACUUGAGGGAUGCAGAGGAAAGUGGAAUUCCCGGUGUAGUGGUGAUAUGCGUAGAUAUCGGGAGGAACACCAGUGGCGAAGGCGGCUUUCUGGGCAUUUCCUGACGCUGAGACGCGAAAGCGUGGGGAGCGAACCGGAUUAGAAACCCCAGUAGUCC
rnacentral:rRNA from 1 species